AUUGAACGCUGGCGGCAGGCUUAACACAUGCAAGUCGAGCGGGGGAAGGUAGCUUGCUACCGGACCUAGCGGCGGACGGGUGAGUAAUGCUUAGGAAUCUGCCUAUUAGUGGGGGACAACAUCUCGAAAGGGAUGCUAAUACCGCAUACGUCCUACGGGAGAAAGCAGGGGAUCUUCGGACCUUGCGCUAAUAGAUGAGCCUAAGUCGGAUUAGCUAGUUGGUGGGGUAAAGGCCUACCAAGGCGACGAUCUGUAGCGGGUCUGAGAGGAUGAUCCGCCACACUGGGACUGAGACACGGCCCAGACUCCUACGGGAGGCAGCAGUGGGGAAUAUUGGACAAUGGGGGGAACCCUGAUCCAGCCAUGCCGCGUGUGUGAAGAAGGCCUUAUGGUUGUAAAGCACUUUAAGCGAGGAGGAGGCUACUUUAGUUAAUACCUAGAGAUAGUGGACGUUACUCGCAGAAUAAGCACCGGCUAACUCUGUGCCAGCAGCCGCGGU
rnacentral:rRNA from 1 species